AGGGGACCUGGAGCCUGUCCCAGCAAGCAACAGGCACAAGGCAGGGGACACCCUGGUGCAAGGACGGGAUACCAUCUCAGGGCAAACACAGACACAAACACGCACACACUUACACCAGGGGCCCAGAUAGUACCCCUUACCCAGAACUGAACUCAGGGCCCAAACCCUGCAAUAAUCACUGUUGUCUGUUCUGAACUUAUCUGCCUGGUAAAAUAAAGGUAUUUUUGAUGUGCAAGUAUAAUUUGGCUUUUAACUUGCACUCUGCCAAAGACCAGGGUCUAUACAACAUUGGAUACAAACAGAUACAAAGAAAUCCUCUACCCUUCCUUUAUUCAUAAAUAACCAUUAUUAAUGAAGUUCCAUUAGGUCCUGCUAAUUAAAGUUAUUCAUGAAAUUUUCAAUGUCCAGUGAAACAGAAUCAUUGUACAUGACUCUGACAAAUCCAUAUUGAAUCAGCAUUCAUAAACAUAGAUUCUGCCUUUUCAGAAAACUUUAUUAAGCUCCUACCUUUUGCAUCUUAAUUUUUGCAAAGAGUCAUUCCGUUCUCAUUACUGACAAGCCACAUGAAUGUUGGUGUUUGCAGUUGCUGAAAAUGUCCAUCCUUUUUUGUUUUUCUCCAAUAAUAUGGACAAAAUAAUGUGCAGACAUCUUUUCACUCAAUGAUAAAUCGUAAUCGAUAAAUCAAGGGAGAGAGCAGGAAAAUGAGGCAAACUGGAGGGUAGGGAGAAUAGUAGAAGAAAUUUUAUGGAUGUUUAAAGCAAUGUAGUGAGACAGUGGUAUAAGAUGAAUAUUGUACCUGGUAAAAAAGUUCUAGUAGAAGUUCUACUGUAUAUUGUAUCAUGAAGUUGUUUUGUUGGAUGACCUUGGGAAUAGAGAGUGUAAAGGGGAAAAUGUAGGAAGUGGAAUGCAGUUGUGGCUUCAGGAAUUCCUUGUUUGGUUUAUGUUCCAAGGACAGGGUUUUGUUUGGAUAAGGGCCUUGUCAAUGCAGAUCAGACCCACUUCAGGAGGCAGCUUUUGUUGUCCAUGAAGUCAUCCUUGCCUCAGCCUCAUUCCUCUUCUGUAGAGUCCUGCCCUGCACUUUACUCUUUUCUCGGACUGCCCUCAUUUCUGCCGCCCUUCCAGUUUCCCUUUUCUCCAGAUCUUUAGGACUCUUUUACCUUUCUCUCACCUUCAUGGGACGUCUGGAUCACUUUUCUUAUUUUCUUAUUUUUCAUAGCCACCUUCCAGCACCCCAGCAGAGCUUUCUCUGUUUCUUCGUAGAGAUCUGGGCAUCUUGUUCCCAUUCCAAUCCUUGGUGGGCAUCACUCUAUUAGCCUGAGCUCUCUGAGGAUUUAUUUCUACUCGGGCUCUAACUGGGACCAUUUCCUGCAGUUGAGCUGACCCAGGGCUCCAAGAGUUAAGAGGGGACUAAGGGUUUCUUUGUCACCCGUUCCUAGCAGAUGACUUCCCCGGUUAAUCCAAAGGGCUCAUGGGUAUAUGAUUCCUUUCGCACCUGAAUGCUUCCGUCAGAGUGAGGAACCUGGGAGAUAGAGCUGACAGUGCAUACCUGGCCAGGUCUUUGGGGAGACACCACAUUAUGGUGUGCCGCUUGAAUCACCAGCUCCUGGGCCUUCUGACUGGAUCACUAUGAUCACUAUGUGGAGAUCUGCCCCACCAGUAUUCAGUGAGACCCCUCCUCCUAGAGAAGCCUUUAACCCCAGGUAGUAUGUAAGCCCCUUCCCCUCUGGAACAAACCAUGUCUCCAAUUCAUAAUAAUUUCACAAAUUAUACAUUCAUGAUUAAUUCAUUUCUAACCGAAGAACAUCACAUAUCUUAAUAACACAGUUCUUUUGAUCCUGGUUCAAAUAAACAAUACAGAAAAUAAACAAUACAAACAAUAACAUUUCCCUCUCUUCACAUGUAUGUGGAUUUUCCCAUCUCCAUAAAGAAGCCUUGAGAACUGGGGUUAGGUUUGACUUUUUGAGGCCACCAUAGGCUGACCCAACCUGGAAGUACCAACACCAAACAAACAAGUACCCGAGCCCCAACAAGUCGAGUCUCUUCAGGCUUUCCGCUACUCUCUGGUCUCUUGUUCUUGAGUUCUGACAAAUGACCAGCCAUAUUGUAACACAAAAUAGACAAAAUUUCCAGGGACUAGCGAGCAGGAAGGGUCAUUUUACCUCGUUCUCUCCCAUGGCUUAACCAGUGGCUUGUGACAACAUGACGACUACACAGUACUUUAACAAAGUUUACUAUUUUGUGCUUAAUUGGAAAUUUGUUAAAAUUUGCUAUUCCUUCAAUGAAUUUAUUUUGUUACCGAGAUUUUGUACCUGGUCUGAGAAAUUAUGACUGCAUUUCCCCUUUAAAGACAGAAUAAGACAAAAAGUUAACCAAGUGAUUUUGUUUUGUCACUUUCUACU